rnacentral:tRNA from 1 species
GCCUUGGUGGUGCAAUGGUUACACAUUCAGCUGCUAACUGAAAGGUCAGUGGUUUGAACCUACCCACAGCU